AGGUCGAUCUCAGGGAUGCGGCGUCUGCAAGGGGCUCACAGCAAGAGCCAGCUCCGUGCUUGUCUGGAUGCUCUGGUGGUAAACCAUUGGAUAUUUCUGCCACUGCUGUUCAAUUUGCAUCACACUUUCUCCUGCCAGACUUUCUGCAGCCUUAAAAGACCCAUUGAACUUGAGCUCAUGGCUAGCUCUUUCUGUACUUAAAGAAGAGAGAAGUGUCUGUAUUCCCACCUAAUUUGGAGUGCAAAGAGAUUAGCAAGACCUACUGGCAUAGGAGACUGGAAGUGAGAGGAGGAAUGACAAAUCAGGCGCUUUCCCUCACUGGAAUACUCGAGCCGGACACUUCUCCACCAGCGAUAUUGUUCGGGCCGCGGCUGUUGCCUGCUCGCC